rnacentral:rRNA from 1 species
ACGGGAGGCAGCAGUGGGGAAUAUUGGGCAAUGGGCGGAAGCCUGACCCAGCAAUGCCGCGUGAAGGAAGAAGGUCUUCGGAUUGUAAACUUCUUUUAUGAGGGACGAAGGAUUUGACGGUACCUCAUGAAUAAGCCACGGCUAACUACGUGCCAGCAGCCGCGGUAAUACGUAGGUGGCAAGCGUUAUCCGGAUUUACUGGGUGUAAAGGGCGCGUAGGCGGGGAAGCAAGUCAGAUGUGAAAUCCAUGGGCUCAACUCAUGAACUGCAUUUGAAACUGUUUCUCUUGAGUGCUGGAGAGGUAGAUGGAAUUCCUAGUGUAGCGGUGAAAUGCGUAGAUAUUAGGAAGAACACCAGUGGCGAAGGCGAUCUACUGGACAGUAACUGACGCUGAGGCGCGAAAGCGUGGGGAGCAAACAGGAUUAGAUACCCUGGUA